AGAAUCAACGCUGGCGGCGUGCCUAACACAUGCAAGUCGAACGAGAAAGUGGAGCAAUCCAUGAGUAAAGUGGCGACCGGGUGAGUAACACGUGACUAACCUACCUUCGAGUGGGGAAUAACCUCGGGAAACCGGGGCUAAUACCGCAUAAUGUCUUCGGACCAAAGGAGCAAUUCGCUUGAAGAGGGGGUCGCGGCCGAUUAGCUAGUUGGUGAGGUAAUGGCCCACCAAGGCAAUGAUCGGUAGCCGGCCUGAGAGGGCGCACGGCCACACUGGAACUGAAACACGGUCCAGACUCCUACGGGAGGCAGCAGUGGGGAAUUUUGCGCAAUGGGGGAAACCCUGACGCAGCAACGCCGCGUGGAGGAUGAAGCCCCUUGGGGUGUAAACUCCUUUCGAUCGGGACGAUGAUGACGGUACCGGAAGAAGAAGCACCGGCUAACUCUGCGCCAGCAGCCGC
rnacentral:rRNA from 1 species